rnacentral:rRNA from 1 species
UACGUAGGGUGCAAGCGUUAAUCGGAAUUACUGGGCGUAAGCGUGCGCAGGCGGUUUUGUAAGUCUGUCGUGAAAGCCCCCGGGCUCAACCUGGGAAUUGCGAUGGAGACUGCAAGGCUUGAAUCUGGCAGAGGGGGGUAGAAUUCCACGUGUAGCAGUGAAAUGCGUAGAGAUGUGGAGGAACACCGAUGGCGAAGGCAGCCCCCUGGGUCAAGAUUGACGCUCAUGCACGAAAGCGUGGGGAGCAAACAGG